CCUACGGGUGGCAGCAGUGAGGAAUAUUGGUCAAUGGACGAGAGUCUGAACCAGCCAAGUAGCGUGAAGGAUGACUGCCCUAUGGGUUGUAAACUUCUUUUAUAUGGGAAUAAAAUGUUCCACGUGUGGGAUUUUGUAUGUACCAUAUGAAUAAGGAUCGGCUAACUACGUGCCAGCAGCCGCGGUAAUACGGAGGAUCCGAGCGUUAUCCGGAUUUAUUGGGUUUAAAGGGAGCGUAGGUGGAUUGUUAAGUCAGUUGUGAAAGUUUGCGGCUCAACCGUAAAAUUGCAGUUGAAACUGGCAGUCUUGAGUACAGUAGAGGUGGGCGGAAUUCGUGGUGUAGCGGUGAAAUGCUUAGAUAUCACGAAGAACUCCGAUUGCGAAGGCAGUUCACUGGACUGCAACUGACGCUGAGGCUCGAAAGUGUGGGUAUCAAACAGGAUUAGAUACCCUUGUAGUC
rnacentral:rRNA from 1 species